AUUGAACGCUGGCGGCAGGCCUAACACAUGCAAGUCGAACGAGUGGCGGACGGGUGAGUAAUGUCUGGGAAACUGCCUGAUGGAGGGGGAUAACUACUGGAAACGGUAGCUAAUACCGCAUACCAUCAGAUGUGCCUAGAUGGGAUUGGCUUGUUUGUGGGGUAACGGCUCACCAAGGCGACGAUCCCUAGCUGGUGUGGGAGGAUGACCCGCCACACUGGAGCUGAGACACGGUCCAGACUCGUACUGGACGCAGCAGUGGGAAUAUUGCACAGUGAGCGCAAGCCUGAUGCAGCCAUGCCGCGUGUAUUAAGGAGGCCUUCGGGUUGUAAAGUACUUUCAGCGGGGAGGCGUUACCCGCAGAAGAAGCACCGGCUAACUCCGUGCCAGCCGCCGCGGUAAUUC
rnacentral:rRNA from 1 species